rnacentral:rRNA from 1 species
CCCUUAGAGUUUGAUCCUGGCUCAGAGUGAACGCUGGCGGCGUGGAUUAGGCAUGCAAGUCGAGCGAACCCGCAAGGGUUAGCGGCAAACGGGUUAGUAACACGUAGGUAAUCUUCCCCAAAAACGGGUAUAGCAUCGUGAAAACGGUGGUAAUCCCCGAUGUGGUGCCAAUUGCAUAUGUAGUUGGUAUUAAAGGCAGGGACCUUCGGGCCUGCUGUUUUGGGAUGAGCCUGCGUCCUAUCAGCUAGUUGGUGAGGUAAUGGCCCACCAAGGCUUAUGACGGGUAGCUGGUCUGAGAGGACGAUCAGCAACACUGGGACUGAGACACUGCCCAGACUCCUACGGGAGGCUGCAGUCGAGAAUCUUUAGCAAUGGACGAAAGUCUGACUAUGCGACGCCGCGUGCAGGAUGAAGGCCUUCGGGUUGUAAACUGCUUUUGUUAGGGGAGAAUUCUCUUAAGUUAACAGCUUAAGAGUUGACGGUACCUAAAGAAUAAGCCACGGCCAACUCCGUGCCAGCAGCCGCGGUAAUACGGAGGUGGCGAGCGUUACUCGGAAUCAUUGGGUGUAAAGGGCAAGUAGGCGGUCAGUUAAGUGAGGGGUGAAAGCUUCCGACUCAAUCGGGAAAUUGCCUUUCAAACUAGCUGACUUGAGAUCGGAAGGGGGAAGCGGAAUUAGCGGUGUAAGGGUGAAAUCUGUAGAUAUCGCUAAGAACACCGGCG